rnacentral:rRNA from 1 species
GACGAACGCUGGCGGCGUGCCUAAUACAUGCAAGUAGAACGCUGAAGAGAGGAGCUUGCUCUUCUUGGAUGAGUUGCGAACGGGUGAGUAACGCGUAGGUAACCUGCCUUGUAGCGGGGGAUAACUAUUGGAAACGAUAGCUAAUACCGCAUAACAAUGGAUGACACAUGUCAUUUAUUUGAAAGGGGCAAUUGCUCCACUACAAGAUGGACCUGCGUUGUAUUAGCUAGUAGGUGAGGUAACGGCUCUCCUAGGCGACGAUACAUAGCCGACCUGAGAGGGUGAUCGGCCACACUGGGACUGAGACACGGCCCAGACUCCUACGGGAGGCAGCAGUAGGGAAUCUUCGGCAAUGGGGGCAACCCUGACCGAGCAACGCCGCGUGAGUGAAGAAGGUUUUCGGAUCGUAAAGCUCUGUUGUAAGUCAAGAACGAGUGUGAGAGUGGAAAGUUCACACUGUGACGGUAGCUUACCAGAAAGGGACGGCUAACUACGUGCCAGCAGCCGCGGUAAUACGUAGGUCCCGAGCGUUGUCCGGAUUUAUUGGGCGUAAAGCGAGCGCAGGCGGUUUGAUAAGUCUGAAGUUAAAGGCUGUGGCUCAACCAUAGUUCGCUUUGGAAACUGUCAAACUUGAGUGCAGAAGGGGAGAGUGGAAUUCCAUGUGUAGCGGUGAAAUGCGUAGAUAUAUGGAGGAACACCGGUGGCGAAAGCGGCUCUCUGGUCUGUAACUGACGCUGAGGCUCGAAAGCGUGGGGAGCGAACAGGAUUAGAUACCCUGGUAGUCCACGCCGUAAACGAUGAGUGCUAGGUGUUGGAUCCUUUCCGGGAUUCAGUGCCGCAGCUAACGCAUUAAGCACUCCGCCUGGGGAGUACGACCGCAAGGUUGAAACUCAAAGGAAUUGACGGGGGCCCGCACAAGCGGUGGAGCAUGUGGUUUAAUUCGAAGCAACGCGAAGAACCUUACCAGGUCUUGACAUCCCGAUGCUAUUUCUAGAGAUAGAAAGUUACUUCGGUACAUCGGUGACAGGUGGUGCAUGGUUGUCGUCAGCUCGUGUCGUGAGAUGUUGGGUUAAGUCCCGCAACGAGCGCAACCCCUAUUGUUAGUUGCCAUCAUUCAGUUGGGCACUCUAGCGAGACUGCCGGUAAUAAACCGGAGGAAGGUGGGGAUGACGUCAAAUCAUCAUGCCCCUUAUGACCUGGGCUACACACGUGCUACAAUGGUUGGUACAACGAGUUGCGAGUCGGUGACGGCAAGCUAAUCUCUUAAAGCCAAUCUCAGUUCGGAUUGUAGGCUGCAACUCGCCUACAUGAAGUCGGAAUCGCUAGUAAUCGCGGAUCAGCACGCCGCGGUGAAUACGUUCCCGGGCCU